GAUGAACGCUGGCGGCGUGCCUAAUACAUGCAAGUCGAGCGAAUGGAUUAAGAGCUUGCUCUUAUGAAGUUAGCGGCGGACGGGUGAGUAACACGUGGGUAACCUGCCCAUAAGACUGGGAUAACUCCGGGAAACCGGGGCUAAUACCGGAUAACAUUUUGAACCGCAUGGUUCGAAAUUGAAAGGCGGCUUCGGCUGUCACUUAUGGAUGGACCCGCGUCGCAUUAGCUAGUUGGUGAGGUAACGGCUCACCAAGGCAACGAUGCGUAGCCGACCUGAGAGGGUGACCGGCCACACUGGGACUGGGACACGGCCCAGACUCCGACGGGAGGCAGCAGUAGGGAAUCUUCCGCAAUGGACGAAAGUCUGACGGAGCAACGCCGCGUGAGUGAGGAAGGCUUUCGGGUCGUAAAACUCUGUUGUUAGGGAAGAACAAGUGCUAGUUGAAUAAGCUGGCACCUUGACGGUACCUAACCAGAAAGCCACGGCUAACUACGUGCCAGCAGCCGCCGUAA
rnacentral:rRNA from 1 species